rnacentral:rRNA from 1 species
CAGCCGUAAACUAUGCGCGUUAGGUGUAUCGGUGACCACGAGUUACCGAGGUGCCGAAGGGAAACCGUGAAACGUGCCGCCUGGGAAGUACGGUCGCAAGGCUGAAACUUAAAGGAAUUGGCGGGGGGGCACCACAACAGGUGGAGCCUGCGGUUUAAUUGGACUCAACGCCGGGAAGCUCACCGGAUAGGACAGCAGAAUGAUUGCCGGGCUGAAGACCCUGCAUGACUAGCUGAGAGGUGGUGCAUGGCGUCAGUGACU